GACGAACGCUGGCGGCGUGCUUAACACAUGCAAGUCGAACGGAAAGGCCCUGCUUUUGUGGGGUGCUCGAGUGGCGAACGGGUGAGUAACACGUGAGUAACCUGCCCUUGACUUUGGGAUAACUUCAGGAAACUGGGGCUAAUACCGGAUAGGAGCUCCUGCUGCAUGGGGGGGGUUGGAAAGUUUCGGCGGUUGGGGAUGGCCUGGCGGGUUAUCAGCUGGUUUGGGGGGUAGUGGCUUACCAAGGGUUUGAAGGGUAGCCGGCCUUAGAGGGUGACCGGCGACAUUGGGACUGAGAUACGCCGCAGACUCCUACGGGCCGCAGUAGGGGGGAAUAUUGCGGAAUGGGCGGAAGUCUGAUGCAGCAGUGCCCCGAGCGGGAUGCUGGGUUUUGGGUUGUAAACCGCUUUCGCCGGAACCGAAGAGUGAGUGACGGUAAUGGGUAAAGAAGCACCGGCUAACUACGUG
rnacentral:rRNA from 1 species